UACGAAGGGGGCUAGCGUUGUUCGGAAUUGCUGGGCGUAAAGCGCGCGCAGGCGGUCUUCCAAGUCAGUGGUGAAAGCCUGGAGCUCAACUCCAGAACUGCCAUUGAAACUGUUAGACUUGAGUACGAGAGAGGUGAGUGGAAUUCCCAGUGUAGAGGUGAAAUUCGUAGAUAUUGGGAAGAACACCAGUGGCGAAGGCGGCUCACUGGCUCGUAACUGACGCUCAGGCGCGACAGCGUGGGGAUCAAACAGG
rnacentral:rRNA from 1 species